UUGUUCGGAAUCACUGGGCGUAAAGCGUGCGUAGGCUGUUUCGUAAGUCGUGUGUGAAAGGCGCGGGCUCAACCCGCGGACGGCACAUGAUACUGCGAAACUAGAGUAAUGGAGGGGGAACCGGAAUUCUCGGUGUAGCAGUGAAAUGCGUAGAUAUCGAGAGGAACACUCGUGGCGAAGGCGGGUUCCUGGACAUUAACUGACGCUGAGGCACGAAGGCCAGGGGAGCGAAAGGGAUUAGAUACCCCUGUAGUCCUGGCAGUAAACGGUGCACGCUUGGUGUGCGGGGAAUCGACCCCCUGCGUGCCGGAGCUAACGCGUUAAGCGUGC
rnacentral:rRNA from 1 species